AUUUAUUCUUUCAAAGUUAUUUAUUGACUGAUAAACAUGAGCUUUAGAACAUCAAGCCAGUUCAAUGGACACAAUGCAGUGAGGUAUGAAAAGGAAUUGGAUUACAUUUUGCAGAAUAAACUAUUCAAGUUAAAUCUCUACUAUGAAAAUCAGGGCCAGAUUUAAGAGUGUGGAGACCCCAAAAAUUUUUUUUAAAGCUUUAAUAAAAAUCCACUUUUUAACACUUAUCAAUAAACAUAUUGAUAGCUAAUAGCAAGCCAUAUUCUAGAAGAAAGAAAUUGAAUACUUGUUAAUUUUAUCUAAUUUUACUACUUAAAAAAAAGUUACAAUUUUUUAUUAUGCAAUUUUUGUAAAAAAAAAUAAUUAUAUUUUACAUGUUUUUGAGUUUGUGGAGAGUAAGACAUUUUAAAAUCUGUUUUGUGGGGGCCCCGGG